GCAGGUUUGCCUCACAGCACAAUUUAGAAGUGACCAAAGCCAUUUCACAGGCAGUAAUGAAUGGGAAUGACUUUGAGGCUUCUUUGAUAAGGAAAGCUUGCAACAGAUAUUAUACAAAUGUCAGACGGGAGUUCAGGCUUCUUGAGGAGAACAGGAAAGGAGAGGAUCAGCGAACCAAAACCCUCAACAACAGGAGACACAGCUGUAGCCAGGGAAGUGCUCAGCCAGGAUGAGUUUGAGUAUUUGAAAGGCGUCCCUGCGUGAUUCAUGAGUGACGAGGAAACUGAUGAGGAGGACAGACAGACGUGGAUAGUCAGCCAGCCCGAGUGGAGGGCCACCAGGCUCAGUGAAAUACUGCACAAGUGCCAAAAUAAACUAGGACAGCAGAACUCCUGCAAGGUGAAACACAGGAGGGAAGUCAGCGGCAUGCCCAGCAAAAGGCAGCCUCCUAAGGGGGUUAAGGCCCUUUAUUUGAAAAAGUUAAAAAAAAAAAAGUACAUUAAGUUCCAAAUUGCUAGUGUUUGUCUGAGUACUGUUGAGUAGUCUUCUGUUUAUUUCUUGUUUCAUGGGUUUUUUUUUCAUUUCUCACACACUUCUGUUCUGCAUUUAAUAUUUUUGUAAAUCAACGUUCAUUUUCUAAAUGAACACAUCUGAGUCCUUCUCUGUGACAGUCUGAGCUACACCAGUGUGACAAAAGUCUGCUCUGAGACUGAAUGAAAUGUUUAUCAAAAUACUUGAUUCAUUUUCUGACUGAGCUAAGUGAUUAAUUUUUGGCAGUCCACCAUUACAUUUUAACUAUUCAAUUUUUCAAUUCAGUUUUAUUUAUAUAGCGCCAGAUCACAACAGUCACCUCAAGGCGUUUUGUAAGGUAAAGCCCCUACAGUAA